UACGUAGGGACCAAGCGUUGUUCGGAUUUACUGGGCGUAAAGGGCGCGUAGGCGGCAAUUCAAGUCAGUUGUGAAAUCUCCGAGCUUAACUCGGAACGGUCAACUGAUACUGCUUUGCUAGAGUACAGAAGGGGCAACCGGAAUUCUUGGUGUAGCGGUGAAAUGCGUAGAUAUCAAGAGGAACACCUGAGGUGAAGACGGGUUGCUGGGCCAACACUGACGCUGAGUGAGCGAAAGCCAGGGGAGCAAACGGG
rnacentral:rRNA from 1 species